AUUGCCAACUAAAUUAUCGCUAAAGUGUUUUUUUUUUUUUUCCUUCGGAAUUUACAGUAGGAAUAAAGGAGCCUCUGGUAGGCAAAAUUAAAAUUCCCAUAAUUUCCUCAUUUGAUUAUCUCACGUUAUUGUUUACAUUAAGCGUGGCAAUUAAAAAAAUGUGAGCAAUUUUUGCUGUCAAUAAAAGGAAAUAAGAAAUAGAUUUUUGAAAUGAUCCUGUAGUGUAAGAUUGAAAUAGCACGGGAUAAACACUCGAAAGGGAAGACUAAAUACGCCGCUCAAUUGGGUCUGAGUCCAUAUUUCUCGAACCCCCAAAGAUCAAACGGUUUGACAUUGCCGAAAUGUGCGCUUUUAAGUGAGGGAUCUCGUUGGUGUUGUAGAUGGUGGCCACGGGAUGUUAUGACCGAGUAAUUAUGUUCCUCGGACAGAUGCAUUAACCAGGCUCAGAGCUGGAGCCACUGGAUAUUAUUUUAGCCCGAGGGCGCGAGGAACCAAGCCGUUCCCCGAGAGAAAGUCGGUCAGGGUCUUGCCCCCAGUCUUCUUCAAAUGAGCGAGUUUGGGUCCAACUGGGACUGAGGCUGAUAAACAUUCUCGGUUCAGAACGUCAACUUCCGUUAUUCACGGUCAAAUGGAGGCUGUUCAAUCCUGGUCACUAUGAUGCUACUCGGUCCAUGCCAUUUUCUUUAUCGUUCUUGUUUGCUUUAAUAAUUACAAAUAACCGAAUAAAUAAAAGCAUGCAGCCCUUCUGUGUCCCCCUUGGCCUUCGAAUGCAGAAAACUGCUGAAGAGUAAAAGCAGAUCACACCUUAGAUUAUACUUCCGCACUCUCCAAAGAACUUCCGGACCUUUUUUUCUGUAAAAGAGCCGCCGAACAGGCCCAGUUCAUAUUAGGCCGCUGACGCAAUGUAAUGCUAACACGAGACGUUAAGGAAGCAAACAUAGUAUUUGGUCAUUUAAGCCCAGUUGGGUGUUAUAGGGUUUCAGUCAAAUCUGAUUUCUAGUUCUGUAUACCUUGAUCACAUGAGGAACAUCUGAGAGAAUUUGCAAAGAUUGUGAGACCAGAAACUUCACUCGCUUCCCUAGCCAUGGUACAAGACAAGUGUUUACUUAGUAGACUCUGCCUUAUACAAAUGCCAAGCAGAGUGCCUUCUUUUUUUCUCCAUUCAGUGCUGGGGAGGAAAUGUUAAAUCCUGCAGGGAGGUAGUUGCUGGCAGCACAGUUUAAUAUGUUUCGCUUCUAAGCAUCAGUGCCUUGUGUUAGGAGUACACCAUGAACCUUUCCCAAUUAGUUGGUGCCCCCACCCAAUCCCCUACACUUCGAAAAUAUCCAUCCACCCACAUAUUGUUAGGAUUCAAUGCCUCUAGCAAGGACAGAAAGAGCUCUGACCCCUUAAACACUAAAAAACAUUUAUAAACAAUACCACUAAACUAAAAUGAGUAGGCCUACGGCCAUCUUUCUGACCCAUCAAGAAUUUAACUUAAUAAGGCCUGCAUUCAAUCUAACCUUCAUACGCUUUGACCUUAACUCUACAUCAGCCCUUAGCCAUAAUUUUGUUAGCAUUUAUGAAGUAUGCUCAGCUUUUUCAACACUGCACAAUAUCACAUGGUGGUAGCUGGACUAAGCAAAAAGUGUCCAUUUUGCUAAAAUUCACUGCGCAAACUAAAGGACAAGCACAAUAAAAUAAAAAUUAAAUUAAGUUCUAUGAACUGUCAUAAAUGAUCUUCCCUUUUGUUCUUUUCUCCAGCAUUCUUUAUUCUGCCCAUGUGCUUGACUGUCCUGGACAGCUACUUGCUCCUGCAGAGCAAAAUGAAAUAUAAGAAGACAGAUUGCACUCGUGUUACAUGGAAUUGUUCAGCAGCCACAGGACGACUCUAUUCCUAAUCCUACAAGUGUCAGACACCACAGAACCUCGUAUAAAACUCAGAGCACCCUUUGCUCACACUGUUGUAGUGAAGGGAAGCCUCAUUGAGUUGUCAAAGCGAUGUCCUUCCAUUAUAAACAUAUCAUAAAAUAUGUUCACGGCACUUACCUCAUAAACUGCUUAUUCAAGUUUUUCAUCUCAGGCCCUUAAAUAGCAUACAUAUAAAACACUCAAGUGAAGGACAUUCUCAGUCAAACUUUUCAUUUCAUGCACACACACACACACACACACACACACACACACACACACACACCUGCAUGCCCAGAGCUCAUGCCCUUGCUCAACCUCACCUCGCCUCAGACAGGCGCAGCUCCAACGCUUCCACUGCUAAGCGCCCCACCUUGGCGCAGGUAAAACGUCAGUCCACAGGUUUCUGCUUUGACGGGUUCAGAGCGCGCCGGCCAAGACGUCCCAAAACAGCUGCUCCACAGCUGCCCGGAGCUGCAAGAUGUGCCAGUGCCUCAAUCCACUAGACCACGCAGACUGGAGGAGACAGAGAGGUCCUGGUGCUGAUUUGCUGGAAGAGUAUCUGUCAAACUUUGAAAUACCGAGGGAAGAAUCUCUCUCCCAAAAGAAUCAGGCCAUAAACUCCAUGAUGACCCAGAACCCCACUCUCUCUCACCUGGACAAAGCUAAGGUAUGGUCACAGACGCAGAAACACUGGUGGCCUACAGCAGUAUGUUGUCACGGCGACCCCCUCCACCCUCACUCACCCG